AACGUAGGAGACAAACGUUAUCCGGAGUUACUGGGCGUAAAGCGCGUGUAGGCGGGUUGCCAAGUCCGCUGUGAAAGCCCGAGGCUCAACCUCGGAGGGUCGGUGGAUACUGGCAGUCUUGAAGGUGCUAGGGGGAGAUGGGAUUACCGGUGUAGCGGUGAAAUGCGUAGAGAUCGGUAGGAACACCAGUGGCGAAGGCGGUCUCCUGGGGCAUUCUUGACGCUGAGACGCGAAAGCUGGGGGAGCGAACGGG
rnacentral:rRNA from 1 species